UGUUAUCUAGAAAUCAUAAGUUGUAGUUACUUUGUGAUACAAAUAGGUGGUAUAAUGAUUGUUCCUCUGCCACACGUGUACUGGCUUUAUGCUGUAUGAGUUCCAAAGAUCUACGAACAAUU
rnacentral:snoRNA from 14 species